rnacentral:lncRNA from 10 species
GUUUGGUUUCCUCUGGCAACUUCAGCCUCAGUCAGUUCUCUCCUGCAAGUGCUGAGUCACCCAGUCUGGGGACAAAGGGCUGUGGUCCAACGGAGACAGGAUGGGGCAGGAACUGCAGGUGUUUCUCUCCAGGAUCUUGCUACUUAUUGAUGACACCGUAUCAAGGCGCCAGAGUCCAAAUGGUCAUCAUAAGAAAAACUGCACCUAACUUCCACAGCCUCCUAGGAGGCCCAGAGACAUCACUGUACUUGCCUGCCAUCCUAUGUGGUGCUGGAAAAAAAAAAAAAAAAAAAAAAAGAGGGGGCAAGAGAAAUAAAACAAGUUUCCAUAGUAAAACAGCACAUAGCUCAUCUUCUGCCGUGGUUACGAUUAGCACUGAAACGUGACUGUGAGCU